AGUUUGAUCAGUGCUCAGGACGAACGCUGGCGGCGUGCCUAACACAUGCAAGUCGAACGAGGUCCAGGGAAGCUUGCUUCCUGAAGACCUAGUGGCGAACGGGUGAGUAACACGUGAGAAACCUGCCUCGGAGUGGGGAAUAACUCGGGGAAACUCGAGCUAAUACCGCAUACCUUCACAUGAUCGCAUGGUCGAGUGAAGAAAGAAUUUCGCUCUGAGAGGGUCUCGCGGCCUAUCAGCUUGUUGGUGGGGUAACGGCCUACCAAGGCAACGACGGGUAGCUGGUUUGAGAGAACGAUCAGCCACACUGGGACUGAGACACGGCCCAGACUCCUACGGGAGGCAGCAGUGGGGAAUCUUGCGCAAUGGGCGAAAGCCUGACGCAGCAACGCCGCGUGCGGGAUGACGGCCUUCGUGGUUGUAAACCGCUUUCAGCAGGGACGAAAAUGACGGUACCUGCAGAAGAAGCCCCGGCUAACUACGUG
rnacentral:rRNA from 1 species